GGCCUCGUAGCCCAGUUGGUUAGAGCAUUGGCCAUACCAAAGCAUUCCCCUUGCUGGCGUGGGUUCAAAUCCCACCGAGGCCG
rnacentral:tRNA from 1 species